rnacentral:rRNA from 1 species
UCCACAAGGUGGCAGCACCUGGCUGACCUUGGCCAAUAUCAGGAAGCUAAGCAAGAUAGCACCUAGUUAGUGUUUGGAUGGGAGACUACCAGGAAAUUGCAGGGCUAUGGAC